AAGAAUGGAAUACAGACAUGCAAGUAGCAGAAGCGUCAAUAGACCACAAAAUAUAAAUAUUUCCAAACCUGGGCCCUGUUUAAAAGAAAGCAAUUGAAAAAAUUCAAAUAUAUAUACGAACAUCUCUUAUGAAAAUGUGCUGAAGUCGCCCCUAAAACAUUUCCUACUUAUUUUGGGAUAUCCUGUAAAAUUGCAUAGAACAUAUUUAAUGAAUCGUUUACCUCAUGGCCAAAAGAAAAUUUUGCUGCUACAACAAAUCCUGUUGCCAAUACAAAUGUAAUCCAAACUCCACAACGUAAUCUAUAACCUGCCAGUUCAGCAUCACUGAAUUCGGAUAAAUCUAAAAUACUUCUGUUUGUACCACUUGCAACUGUAUUAGACAAUAUUAAUUGGUUGUUCCCAGCAUUGGUUACAUUACUGUAAUUAUAAAAAAUUAUAUAAUUACAGUAUUCACAUAAGAUUUUUUAAAUAUCUAACAAAUAAAUUAUUUUAACAUAAGCUCUAUAAUGGUUAAAUCGUUUAUAAGUACUUUCUGUCGAUAGGCAUGUAUAAGUGAGUCACCCUGUAUAUAAGAAGAACAUGUUCCUCAGGAUCUUCCUAAUGAACCUCCUUUGAUUAUUGAUUCUUUAAGUAGAAGUGUUGUACAGAAUUGAUUGAUAAUAAAUUUUACGAUUCAUUGCUCCUAA